rnacentral:rRNA from 1 species
GUACACGCUGUGACUAGCAUAUCAAUAAGCGGAGGAAAAGAAACUAACAAGGAUUCCCCUAGUAACGGCGAGUGAAGCGGGAAGAGCUCAAAUUUGAAAUCUUAAAGGGUUUCCCUUUACGAAUUGUAGUUUAAAGAAGUGUUUUCUGUUGAGGUUUUGGUAAAAGUUCUUUGGAAUAGGACAUCAUAGAGGGUGAGAAUCCCGUAUUUGACCUUUACUUUCAACUUUGUGAUACACUUUCAAAGAGUCGGAUUGUUUGGGAAUGCAGUCCAAAAUGGGUGGUAAAUUUCAUCUAAAGCUAAAUAUUGGCGAGAGACCGAUAGCGAACAAGUACCGUGAGGGAAAGAUGAAAAGAACUUUGAAAAGAGAGUUAAACAGUACGUGAAAUUGUCAAAAGGGAAGCGUUUGACACCAGUGUUGUUUUUCUGAAAAUCAAUUAAAGAACUGUUUAUGCUAAGCUGUUUAGACUUUAUCAGCUAUCUGUUUAGUUUUGAGCUUUUCUUUAAUGCACUUUUCAGUUAACAAGUCAACAUCAAUUUCUUUUGCUGUAAAAAAGCUUGAGGAAGGUGGCUUGAGAUUCGUCUUAAGUGUUUAUAGCCUCUUGCUUAUGCAGUCGGAGAGAUUGAGGUCUGCAGCGUAGAUCCUUCGGGGCUAAAUGCAUUUGUGCUAAGUUAUAGCAUUUUAUAGACAACUUGUUGACUAUGAUUUGUCUUGUAGCUUACUCGCUUAUGUUAUUUUACCUACGCUUAGGAUGUUGACUGAUAUGUAGUCGUA